rnacentral:rRNA from 1 species
CUUACCAAGGCGACGAUCAGUAGCCGACCUGAGAGGGUGAUCGGCCACAUUGGAACUGAGACACGGUCCAAACUCCUACGGGAGGCAGCAGUGGGGAAUAUUGCACAAUGGGCGAAAGCCUGAUGCAGCAACGCCGCGUGAGUGAUGAAGGCCUUCGGGUCGUAAAACUCUGUCCUCAAGGAAGAUAAUGACGGUACUUGAGGAGGAAGCCCCGGCUAACUACGUGCCAGCAGCCGCGGUAAUACGUAGGGGGCUAGCGUUAUCCGGAUUUACUGGGCGUAAAGGGUGCGUAGGCGGUCUUUCAAGUCAGGAGUGAAAGGCUACGGCUCAACCGUAGUAAGCUCUUGAAACUGGGAGACUUGAGUGCAGGAGAGGAGAGUGGAAUUCCUAGUGUAGCGGUGAAAUGCGUAGAUAUUAGGAGGAACACCAGUUGCGAAGGCGGCUCUCUGGACUGUAACUGACGCUGAGGCACGAAAGCGUGGGGAGCAAACAGGAUUAGAUACCCUGGUAGUCCACGCUGUAAACGAUGAGUAC